rnacentral:snoRNA from 1 species
CGGACCAGUGACAAAAAGGUGUCAUAAACCAAAGAUUAAGAUAAAUCUGAGUCUGUGUACUUGAAAUCCAAA